rnacentral:rRNA from 1 species
UCUUUUAAUUGAGGACGGGAAUGAAAGGGUAAACUGGAAAAGCUUUUUUAAGAAUAAGAAAAUGAAGUUGACUUUUUAGUAAGAAGGCUAAAAUAUUUCUUAAAGACGAGAAGACCCUAUAAAACUUUAUAUUUUGAUUUACUUUUGGUAGUAUUUUGAAUAUUUGACUGGGGCGGUAGGGGAAAAAUCUUCCCUUGAAGUUAAAGACUUUAGGUCUUAAUAUCUAAAACUUUUAAAAGAAGAAUAAGUUACUUUAGGGAUAACAGCUUUAUUCAUUUUGAUAGUUCUAAUUGACAAAUGAGUUUGUGACCUCGAUG